GAUGGGGAGAAGACAUUGUGUCUUCGAGUCGUUGAUUUCACACUGCCGAGAAAAGCCUCUAGAUAGAAAAUAGGUGCCCGUACCGCAAACCGACACAGGUAGUCAAGAUGAGAAUUCUAAGGUGAGCGAGCGAACUCUCGUUAAGGAACUCGGCAAAAUGACCCCGUAACUUCGGGAGAAGGGGUGCUCUUUAGGGUUAACGCCCAGAAGAGCCGCAGUGAAUAGGCCCAAGCGACUGUUUAUCAAAAACACAGGUCUCUGCUAAACCGUAAGGUGAUGUAUAGGGGCUGACGCCUGCCCGGUGCUGGAAGGUUAAGAGGAGUGGUUAGCUUCUGCGAAGCUACGAAUCGAAGCCCCAGUAAACGGCGGCCGUAACUAUAACGGUCCUAAGGUAGCGAAAUUCCUUGUCGGGUAAGUUCCGACCCGCACGAAAGGCGUAACGAUUUGGGCACUGUCUCAACGA
rnacentral:rRNA from 1 species